UCAUUUUUGUGCUUAUGCAACU
rnacentral:miRNA from 1 species